AGAGUUUGAUCAUGGCUCAGAGCGAACGCUGGCGGUAUGCUUAACACAUGCAAGUCGAGCGCGAAAGUGGCUUCGGCCACGAGUAGAGCGGCGGACGGGUGCGUAACACGUGGAUAAUCUGCCUUCAGGUCUGGGAUAACCCUGGGAAACUAGAGCUAAUACCGGAUAAGACCACAGGUUUCAUGGAACCAGAGGUAAAAGGCGGCUUUCGGGCUGUCUCCUGAAGAUGAGUCCGCGUCCCAUCAGGUAGUUGGUGAGGUAACGGCUCACCAAGCCUAAGACGGGUAGCCGACCUUAGCGGGUGAUCGGCCACACGGGGACUGAGACACGGCCCCGACUCCUACGGGAGGCAGCAGUGGGGAAUCUUGGGCAAUGGGCGAAAGCCUGACCCAGCAAUACCGCGUGAGGGAUGAAGGCCUUCGGGUCGUAAACCUCUGUCAGCAGGAACGAUGGGUUUCCGUGCUAAUACCACGGAGACUUGACGGUACCUGCAAAGGAAGCCCCGGCUAACUCCGUGCCAGCCGCCGCGGUAUAC
rnacentral:rRNA from 1 species